AACGAACGCUGGCGGCAGGCCCAACACAUGCAAGUCGAGCGAGGACUUCGGUCCUAGCGGCGGACGGGUGAGUAACGCGUGGGAACGUGCCCCUUGGUACGGAAUAGCCCCGGGAAACUGGGAGUAAUACCGUAUGAGCUCUACGGAGGAAAGAUUUAUCGCCAAGGGAUCGGCCCGCGUUGGAUUAGGUAGUUGGUGGGGUAAUGGCCUACCAAGCCGACGAUCCAUAGCUGGUUUGAGAGGAUGAUCAGCCACACUGGGACUGAGACACGGCCCAGACUCCUACGGGAGGCAGCAGUGGGGAAUCUUAGACAAUGGGCGCAAGCCUGAUCUAGCCAUGCCGCGUGAGCGAUGAAGGCCUUAGGGUUGUAAAGCUCUUUCAGCUGGGAAGAUAAUGACUGUACCAGCAGAAGAAGCCCCGGCUAACUUCGUGCCAGCCGCCGCAGUAACAC
rnacentral:rRNA from 1 species